rnacentral:rRNA from 1 species
UGCCAGCAGCCGCGGUAAUACGGAGGGUCCAAGCGAUAUCCGGAUUCAUUGGGUUUAAAGGGUACGUAGGCGGAAUUUUAAGUCAGUAGUGAAAGCCCAUCGCUUAACGAUGGAACUGCUAUUGAUACUGGAAUUCUUGAAUAUAGUUGAAGUAGGCGGAAUACGACAUGUAGCGGUGAAAUGCAUAGAUAUGUCGUGGAACACCGAUCGCGAAGGCAGCUUACUAAGCUACUAUUGACGCUGAGGUACGAAAGCGUGGGGAGCGAACAGGAUUAGAUA